GACGAACGCUGGCGGCGUGCUUAACACAUGCAAGUCGAACGGAAAGGCCCUGCUUUUGUGGGGUGCUCGAGUGGCGAACGGGUGAGUAACACGCGAGUAACCUGCCCUUGUCUUUGGGAUAACUUCAGGAAACUGGGGCUAAUACCGGAUAGGAGCUCCAGCUGCACGGUGGGGGUUGGAAAGUUUCGGCGGUUGAGGAUGGACUCGCGGGUUAUCAGCUUGUUGGUGGAGUAGUGGCUUACCAAGGCUUUGACGGGUAGCCGGCCUGGGAGGGUGGCCGGCGACAUUGGGACUGAGAUACGGACCAGACUGCUACGGGAGGCAGCGGUGGGGAAUCUUGCGCAGUGGGCGGGAGCCUGAUGCAGCAACGCCGCGUGCGGGAUGACGGCCUUCGGGUUGUAAACCGCUUUCGCCUGUGACGAGGCGUGAGUGACGGUAAUGGGUAAAGAAGCACCGGCUAACUACGUG
rnacentral:rRNA from 1 species